rnacentral:rRNA from 1 species
CGUCCUAUUAGCUAGUUGGAGAGGUAAUGGCUCACCAAGGCUACGAUGGGUAGGGGUUCUUAGUGGAAGGUCCCCCACACUGGCACUGAGAUACGGGCCAGACUCCUACGGGAGGCAGCAGUAGGGAAUAUUGGUCAAUGGGCGCAAGCCUGAACCAGCCAUGCCGCGUGCAGGAUGAAAACUCUCUGAGUUGUAAACUGCUUUUGUACAGGAGCAAAAAAGUCCCUGCGGGGAUUCUUGAGAGUACUGUAAGAAUAAGCACCGGCUAAUUCCGUGCCAGCAGCCGCGGUAAUACGGAAGGUGCAAGCGUUAUCCGGUUUUAUUGGGUUUAAAGGGUGCGUAGGCGGCUUAUUAAGUCAGUAGUGAAAUCCUAGUGCUUAACGCUAGAACUGCAAUUGAUACUAUU